rnacentral:rRNA from 1 species
AUUGAACGCUGGCGGCAGGCCUAACACAUGCAAGUCGAGCGGAUGAAGGGAGCUUGCUCCUGGAUUCAGCGGCGGACGGGUGAGUAAUGCCUAGGAAUCUGCCUGGUAGUGGGGGAUAACGUCCGGAAACGGGCGCUAAUACCGCAUACGUCCUGAGGGAGAAAGUGGGGGAUCUUCGGACCUCACGCUAUCAGAUGAGCCUAGGUCGGAUUAGCUAGUUGUUGGGGUAAAGGCCUACCAAGGCGACGAUCCGUAACUGGUCUGAGAGGAUGAUCAGUCACACUGGAACUGAGGCACGGUCCAGACUCCUACGGGAGGCAGCAGUGGGGAAUAUUGGACAAUGGGCGAAAGCCUGAUCCAGCCAUGCCGCGUGUGUGAAGAAGGUCUUCGGAUUGUAAAGCACUUUAAGUUGGGAGGAAGGGCAGUAAGUUAAUACCUUGCUGUUUUGACGUUACCAACAGAAUAAGCACCGGCUAACUUCGUG